AUGCUGCCCAUCACUGCACUAGUACUCUCUUGCUUCUUCACUCUCGCCACGUCCAUCGCCGGCGGAGAGCCGUCGCUGACCGCGUCGGCCAUCGUCGCCGCAGCCGAGUCCGGGGCGCACAUCCUCCGCAUCGACGGCUACUCCCUCACAAAGGGGCUCGGCAACGGCAAAUACAUCGCCUCCGAGGCGUUCGCCGUCGGCGGGCAUCGCUGGCGUCUGCUCUACUACCCCGACAGCCUCAACUCGAGCGACUCCGACUGGAUGUCCGUUGCCCUGCUCCUUGAUCACACAGAUCUCGAUGAAGUAAAAGCCAGAUUCACGAUUAGUUUGCUCGACCAAGACGGCAGCAAGGUGCCGUCACACAGCAUGACCAGCAGACCGCGCACCUUCACCGCCAGAAAGGGUGCGCGUCGUGCGCUGGGCUGUCGUCUCAUAAGGAAGAGCGACCUGGAGAGGUCGGUUUGGCUGAAGGACGAUUGCUUCAGCGUCCGGUGCGACAUCACCGUGCCAAUGGAGAUAUUCACUAAGGCCAUUCCGGUUACGGAACGUAGGAAAUGGCUCCUCUCGCCGACCAUGGGCUCCCUUGUGCAUGCGUGCGUGCACUGUUUAUCUUACAUGGCUAUAGUGCUUCAGGGAAAGGCUGCAGAUAUAUGA
rnacentral:rRNA from 1 species